rnacentral:rRNA from 1 species
GACGAACGCUGGCGGCGUGCUUAACACAUGCAAGUCGAGCGGUAAGGCCCUUUCGGGGGUACACGAGCGGCGAACGGGUGAGUAACACGUGGGUGACCUGCCCUUAGCUCUGGGAUAAGCCUGGGAAACUGGGUCUAAUACCGGAUAUGACUCCAUGACGCAUGUUGUGGGGUGGAAAGCCUUGUGCGGCUAGGGAUGGGCCCACGGCCUAUCAGCUUGUUGGUGGGGUGAUGGCCUACCAAGGCGACGACGGGUAGCCGGCCUGAGAGGGCGACCGGCCACACUGGGACUGAGACACGGCCCAGACUCCUACGGGAGGCAGCAGUGGGGAAUCUUGCGCAAUGGGCGAAAGCCUGACGCAGCGACGCCGCGUGGGGAUGACGGCC